ACACGUAAGUUGCGAGCGUUGUUCGGAAUUAUUGGGCGUAAAGGGCAUGUAGGCGGAUUUGCAAGCUUGAUGUGAAAUCCCGCAGCUUAACUGCGGAACUGCAUUGGGAACUGCAAGACUAGAGUUACUGAGGGGAAACUAGAAUUCCAAGUGUAGGGGUGAAAUCUGUAGAUAUUUGGAAGAAUACCAAUGGCGAAGGCAAGUUUCUGGCAGAUAACUGACGCUGAGGUGCGAAGGUGCGGGGAGCAAACAGGAUUAGAUACCCUGGUAGUCCGCACAGUAAACGAUGUACACUAGGUGUUUGACCAUGAGGUUGAGUGCCAUAGCUAACGCAAUAAGUGUACCGCCUGGGAAGUAUGCCCGCAAGGGUGAAACUCAAAGGAAUUGACGGGG
rnacentral:rRNA from 1 species